rnacentral:misc_RNA from 1 species
AAAAAAUCCCACGUUUUCUACUACACUGUGUAUCAUGUACCGUUACGCAAUGUUGUCGGUUGGUAAAUAAUUUACAUAAUUUAGGGAGUAUAAGGUGAUCGACCAGUAUGGAAAAUUUUGAUGAUUGAUAAUACACUGAACGCCAAAAUUAACGCAUAGUUUAAAAAAUUCUGAUGUUCUAAUUGCAACUUUAAAGAAUAAAAGAAUAAUCAGAAAAUUGUAUGCGUUAAUUUUGGCACGCGGUGUAGUUAUAUACAGUUAUAUACAGUACGUAUUACAAAAAUUUUGUAUUUAUUAAUAUUAUAAAUGUACACUGGAUUUUUAAACCUAAAACCGCCCUGUAAGUUAUUAAUAGAAUAUUUUUGUGGAUUAAAUUAAAAGUUUAUUAUCAAA